rnacentral:rRNA from 1 species
UACGUAGGGGGCUAGCGUUGCUCGGAAUCACUGGGCGUAAAGCGCACGUAGGCGGAUUGUUAAGUCAGGGGUGAAAUCCUGGAGCUCAACUCCAGAACUGCCUUUGAUACUGGCGAUCUCGAGUCCGGGAGAGGUGAGUGGAACUGCGAGUGUAGAGGUGAAAUUCGUAGAUAUUCGCAAGAACACCAGUGGCGAAGGCGGCUCACUGGCCCGGUACUGACGCUGAGGCGCGAAAGCGUGGGGAGCAAACAGG